CACUAGUCUGCUGUUAACUUUGAUUAAGUGUUGUUAGCUUACACUAAGGUUUUGGAAAUAUUUUAGAGAGAGGAGAGAGAAAGGAAGGGGGCAGUUGCAGUGGUUAACAACCCUCUGCCAGAGCGCAAGAAGGCACAUCAGUGGCAGGUAACAAACACCACUUAGCAGCAGGCUUUGCGUCCGUCUUGCCCUUUUGUUUCCGCCUCCUGCCCUUAAAAUCUCUACCGUCGCGGUCAAAUUUGCGAUCCAUACUUGGGGAGGGCCAAGAAACCGAGCUCUCUUUCCAAUGCCCACCAACGUCAGGUGAAAUCGGUGGCUGGCCUCUUUGAAGUUGAAGGGUUUAUGUGAUUCCGCGGUGGGGGUAAUUUUCAGGUGAUUGAGGAACGUUGGUGUUUCUGGACAACUGGAGAUGUACUCAGGCCAGCAAUCUGA
rnacentral:lncRNA from 7 species